rnacentral:rRNA from 1 species
AAGUUAGAAUUAGCAAAAAGGUUGAGUUUACAGAAUUGGGUUGUGCAAAUCAAUGUGAAGGAUGAGGUUUUAGUAAAGGGUAGAAAAAGAAUAUAUUUAGUGAUAGAGUUGUACCGUGAGGGAAUAUUGAAAUAUUUGAAAAUGUGUUUGUGAAAAAGUAGACGUAGUGUUGUACCUUUUGUAUCAGGGUUUAAUAAUUAGAUUAAGAGAUCUUAAAGUCUCGAUAUAAGGAGUGCUAUAAAUUUAAUAUAGUUUAGGUAGCAAACUAAUUAUACAUAAAUUUAUAGUAAUGAAAUAUUAGCCGGUCCUUAAGGUAUCUAGUUCUUUAAGAAAUGAAUUUAAUUCAGGGAUUAUUAGAGGUUGGAGUCUUAAUCUUUGAGUUUAUAAUAAUCCUAAUAUUGUGGGGGAUAAGCUCCGCAAUGUUAUUAAAACAACAAGUUUUUGAAAAUGAGUAGGCUUGAAAGUAGCCACCUAUUUAAGAAUGUUAUAAUUUAUUUUCUAAAGAUUUAAUUUUAAAGAGUUUAAGGAAUGUAUUAAAGAGUAAUCUGGAAUAAUGAAAGAUUAGUUAUAAUGUUAAAAUGAAUAUAGAAUAGGAAGAUUGAAAUUAAGUUUUAGGAAGGAACUCGGCAAAUAUAAUGCUCGCCUGUUUAUCAAAAACAUCGCCUUUAUGAUUAUAUUGAAGGUCUAGCCUGCCCACUGAAAGAAUUAAAGGGCCGCGGUAUAUUGACCGUGCAAAGGUAGCAUAAUCAUUAGUCUUCUAAUUAAAGGCUGGAAUGAAUGGUUGGACGAGGUAUUAGCUGUCUCCCUAAAAUUAACUAGAAUUUAACUUUUUAGUCAAAAGGCUAAAAUGGUGUUGGAGGACGAGAAGACCCUAUAGAUCUUUAUAUUUAAAUUGUUUAAUCACUUUAGAGGGUUUAAGAUUUGAUAAGGUUAAUAUUUUGUUGGGGUGACAGGAAGAUAAUAAAAACUAUUUUUAAAGAGAAACAUUGAUAUAUGAUUAAGUGAUCCGUAGUAGCGAUUAAAAGACUAAGUUACCUUAGGGAUAACAGCGUAAUCUUUUUUGAGAGUUCUAAUCGACAAAAAGGGUUGCGACCUCGAUGUUGGACUAAGGGUUAUUCUUGGGUGUAGAAGUUCAAGGUUUGGGUCUGUUCGACCUUUGAAUCCUUACAUGAUCUGAGUUCAGACCGGCGUAAGCCAGGUUGGUUUCUAUCCUCAAUAUUUAAUAAUAUUUUAGUACGAAAGGACCAAAUAUUAGGGACAUUCUUUAAAAUUUGAAUAUCAAUA